GCAAAGAAACCAGAUAGAGUGGACAAUGAUUUAUGAAAAGAACAAGGAGAGGUGUCCUAUGAACCCAGUGUGGGGAAAAAGUGUUUCAAGAAGGAGGGAAUAUACAACCAGGUCAAAUCUUGCUGUAGUCCAAAUAAGAGCUGGAGCUGAAAGAGAAGGAAAGGGAGCUCCACGAGGAGUUUGAGCACCUGAAGCGGGUCCACCAGGAGGGAGAAGUGCAAGGUGGUGGAAAACCACUAGGAACUGGAGGAGGAGACCAAUGCUUUCAGCUGACUGAAGGCCGCGGUAGAGGCAUUGCAGUCGCAGGCUUUGCAGUUUCACCUUGCAGCAGCCCCUGUGGCAGGCAAGGACAAGAAUCAACACAUGUGCACUUACAUGUCAAGAGUGGACUUUAGACUUUCAUGUGUUCAGUUGCUUGAGUUACACCUUGUGACUCUUCUCUCAUAACACGGUGUGAGGACAGACUGGGAGCUGGUACAGAUUCCAGUGUUUAACAGCCUUGCUUUCCUCUACCCCACCCCAGGUCCAGGUUUCCCUGGGCCUGGCGGGUCACCCCCCU
rnacentral:lncRNA from 10 species